rnacentral:rRNA from 1 species
CCUACGGGUGGCAGCAGUGAGGAAUAUUGGUCAAUGGCCGGAAGGCUGAACCAGCCAUGCCGCGUGAAGGUCAGUGCCCUAUGGGCGUUAAACUUCUUUUGUGCGGGAGCAAUAAUGGUCACGUGUGGCCAGACGAGAGUACCGUAAGAAUAAGCAUCGGCUCACUCCGUGCCAGACGCCGCGGUAAUACGGGGGAUGCAAGCGUUAUCCUGAUUUAUUGGGUUUAAAGGGUGCGUAGGCGGGGAGGUAAGUCAGCGGUGAAAUGCCCCUGCUCAACGGGGUGAAGUGCCAUUGAUACUGCCUUGCUGGAAUGCGGAUGCGGUGGGAGGAAUGUGUGGUGUAGCGGUGAAAUGCAUAGAGAUCACACAGAACACCGAUUGCGAAGGCAUCUCACUAAUCCGCGAUUGACGCUGAUGCACGAAAGCGUGGGUAGCAAACAGGAUUAGAUACCCGGGUAGUC